rnacentral:rRNA from 1 species
UGAUAAAUUUUAAUGCUAAAAUUUUAUUUGUUGUUCAUUAUUAAUUUUAAAAGUAUUGGCGGUAUUUGGUUAAAUUCUGAGGAACUUGUAUAUUUAAAUUGAUAUUACACAUUAAAUUUUAUCUAUAAGUAGUUUUAUGUAUUGCUGUUUAAUUUAUUAUUUAUUAUUGAUAAAUAAAUUUAAAUAACUUUAGUUAAAUAAUUCAAGUCAAAAUGUAGAUUUUUGUAGGGUUAUAUGAGUUACAUUUAUAUUGAAAUAUGGGGCUGUAAAGUUAAUUGAAAUAUUAAUGAUAUUAAGGUUGGAUUAGGAAGUAAAAAUAAAUUAGUUAGUUUUUUUGAUAAAUUAUACCGAUAUGU